GUUUAGAGUCGCAAAGAGGUAGCCUAAUUCACACAAGCUCUCUCUCUCUCACUUCCGGUGUGAUUCUCGAGGGCGAGUGAACGGAGUGGUGCAAAUGCGUGAGUGGCUCUCUAUGAGAAACCUCAUUCCUCAGACGGUCCACUGAUGCCUUGCUCCCAACCUGGUUGAGCUCCACCUGUCCACUAAUGAAAGAGGUCAAAGGUCAGGCAUCAAAUCCAGAUCUGAGGUUUUAUUGGAACAAUGUAGUUUUAAGCAGUUGAAUGUUUGAAAAUAUAAAUUUUUAUUGUCAUUUAUUUAAUGUUUAGUCACAAUUGGAUACCUCUCUGUAUCGUCUCCAUUUUGACUCCUGCAAGUAAUGAGCUGUCUUUCUCUCUGACCCGGUUUGAUCUGGCUCAGGUUGAGUUUUUCCAGCUCGGCUAUGUUUCUCAGGUGUUCUCUCUUCAGCUCCUCUAGUUUGGUGUAGUAUUCCUGUUUGGAGAAUGUGGGUCCCUGCAGAUGAGGGGCUGCACAUGGCUUCCCAUAGUCAACAUCAGAAAGAGAACUCGAGUCGCACGCCCCUAUGUUAUCACCGUCAGACUGCAGCUCACACACCUGAGAAACCGAAAACAAGCAAACUACUGUUUAAACGGUCAAUUUGAACUAAAAUGACCGCAAAUGUUACAGUACAGUAUAAAACAGAAUAUUAAGUGGUUCUUCCAUUACAGAGUAUCUCUAUCAAUUAAUCUGGAAAUGCUUAAUUAUGAGGUGAAUUAGUCUUUUUACAUUGUACAGAUCAGAUGUCUACCUCUGUGUGAUGAACAAUAUCAUUCAGGGAGCAUGAAUAAUCCUUCUCCUCUCCAAACAGAGCCUGAAGUUCACUCGGCUGAAGCCUCUCUGUGCGCAGUAUCGGAGUCAUGGUCCAGCGGUAACCAAGGAAACGCUGUAUGUGCUGUUCCAUGAGUGCCUCCUGCUGUCAGAGAGUGAAUCUGCGUCGCGUUCAGACAGAGCUUCUGCGUUUUGUCAGAGAUCGGUGGUUUUGUUACAAAUUUGGUUAUUAUUAAAUCAAAUUAUGUAUAUAAAAUUAUAUAAACAAAUGAUAUGAAAUCAUAUUAAUUAUAUGUAUAUUAUAUAACUAAAAUGAAAUAACUGUAAUUACAGAUUUAGGUUAAAUAAAUAUGUCUGUCUUUAUUUUUCUUCUUUUUUUCUUUUUCUCAUCAAAAGCUGCAAGACAGCCCACGAUUCAACAUUUCAGAAACACAUAAAAAAUAAAAAAUAAAUUAACAAAUACUGCUUUUCCAAACAUUCUGUAUGUUGCACAAAAAUAAAAUAUAUUGUGUUCAGUGUUUUUUUUGUUGUUGUUUUUCUUUACGCAGGCAUUUCAAAAUAACAUUUUAGAGCUGUAAAAACAAUACUGUGAUACUGUGAAACCAUGAUAUUUUUGCUUAAGGUUAUCAUAGCAUCAAAAUCUCAUACCGGCCCAUGAUUAGAUUCAUUUGGUCAUUGCUGAUUGUUGAGCUAUUUAUUGCAGCAUUACUCUUAAAUACAUAUGCACUUUUCAUGAAGUAAAUCAUGUGAUUAUGAGCAUUGUAUGGCUUCAUUUUCAGUUGUUGUCAUUCACCUUCCUUCCUCUUUCUGCCCUUCCCCAAAUGUGUCAAAUCACGCUUGUGUCAGUCUCUCUAAUCACAAGUUCCUCACACCAGUGCUCUCUUACAAAUGUGUGAGAGUUUUCAUUUGAAGGUUAUGCAAUCCAGAGUACAUUAAUCAAUGAUUUGCUAGAUGCCUUACUCAAGGUCAGCUAUGAAUAACGGAAAGUUACGGAAUGUGCUGAUACUGUGUAGACCCAGAAGAGCACUUCACUAAGCACGCUGAAGUCAGCCAACAUAAUAAGGUGACUCCUCCUUCAACAUCAUCUGGAUGGAACGUCACAGUUACAUCAUGUCUGCUCCUGGACAAGACUGUGUGAUUGUUCUGAUCUGGAUAUGAAAGUAGCCUGUGUUCUCUAAAAGAACAGUUUGUCUUGCUCCCACUGCAGCCAAACAUGUAUGAAUGCGUCUGUUUAACUUUGAAGUGUGAGCAGAGUCAAGAUCUUGCUCUCUAAUAUAAAUGUUUGGGGUCAGAAAGCACUGAAAAAACACCCUCUUAUUCAGUAUUUGGGUCUUGUAUGCCAGAAAAAUUCCAGAAAAAUCUCAAACCCCUUAAAAGAUGUACUUGAUAUAUAAAAAUUACCAUAAUAUAACACAAGUUAUUUUUUACAAUUUUAUUUUCAUUUUGUUUUUCAUAAGAUUACUGGAACUGGUAAACAGUGCCUGUGAUUUCUGUUGUAAAUAUA